UGAAUCCAAUGGUUCUAAAUUUCUAUAAAUAGAUCUUCCUUUCCCACUCUUCCCACACUUCCAUUCUUCCAUUUUUCCAGACUUAGAGAGAGAAAAAGAGAGGGAGAGUGAUUUAGAGAGAAAAAGAGAGGGAGAAUGAUUUAGAGAGGAAAAAAAGAAAAGAAAAGAAGAAUGGUGAAGGAGGAAAUUUCAAGGUUUUAGUAACACAUUUUGUAUUUCUUUCGACAUUUUAAGGAGUAUCUUUAGAUGAUAAAAAU
rnacentral:lncRNA from 1 species